GUGGGGAAUUUUGGACAAUGGGGGGAACCCUGAUCCAGCCAUGCCGCGUGUGUGAAGAAGGCCUUUUGGUUGUAAAGCACUUUAAGUGGGGAGGAGGCUUACCUGGUUAAUACCUGGGCUAAGUGGACGUUACCCACAGAAUAAGCACCGGCUAACUCUGUGCCAGCAGCCGCGGUAAUACAGAGGGUGCGAGCGUUAAUCGGAUUUACUGGGCGUAAAGCGCGCGUAGGUGGUUAAUUAAGUCAAAUGUGAAAUCCCCGAGCUUAACUUGGGAAUUGCAUUCGAUACUGGUUAGCUAGAGUAUGGGAGAGGAUGGUAGAAUUCCAGGUGUAGCGGUGAAAUGCGUAGAGAUCUGGAGGAAUACCGAUGGCGAAUGCAGCCAUCUGGCCUAAUACUGACACUGAGGUGCGAAAGCAUGGGGAGCAAACAGGAUUAGAUACCCUGGUAGUCC
rnacentral:rRNA from 1 species